rnacentral:rRNA from 1 species
UACGAAGGGGGCUAGCGUUGCUCGGAAUCACUGGGCGUAAAGCGCACGUAGGCGGACUCUUAAGUCAGGGGUGAAAUCCUGGAGCUCAACUCCAGAACUGCCUUUGAUACUGAGAGCCUUGAGUUCGGGAGAGGUGAGUGGAACUGCGAGUGUAGAGGUGAAAUUCGUAGAUAUUCGCAAGAACACCAGUGGCGAAGGCGGCUCACUGGGUCAUUACUGACGCUGAGGCACGAAAGCGUGGGGAGCAAACAGGG